AAUUCAUAAGUAUUCAUACCCUGUUGGUGUGAGAUGCCUAAAUUAGUUCAUAAUUUGUGGAAUGGAGUCGAUCUGUGUGCAAGUAAAGUGUCACAUGACCUCAAUAUAAAAGUACAUUCUUGAAAGGCCAUAGAGUCUGUUAGAGAACAUAUCUAAACAAACAGCAUCAUAAAAAUAAAAAAUGCCUAGGACAAAUUUUUGGAAAAGUGUCAAUCAGGGUUUUAUUUAUUUAUUUAUUUAUUUAUUUAAAUAUCCCAAACCUUGAACACCCUGUUUAGUAUCAUUAAAUCUGUUACUCUGGCAAGAAGAGCCCAUGCAAAAAUUACUGUUCUGGUAAUGAAGAAAUUAGUCAGAGAAACACUCGAGGCCAAAGGUAACUUUCAACAUGAUAUGAUACUUCCACCACCAUGCGUCACAAGGGGUACAACAAUACUCGUGCAAUCACAAUGUUUUCAUUUAUAUUUGUACAUAAUUUUGCAGGCUACAUUGAUCUAAAGCAACCCACAAACAUUUUCAAGGUACUGUAAAUCUAAUCAGCCAGUCAAAAACAUGUUUAGUUUCCUGUGUUGCCUUCUUUGAUUUUGCACUGGAGCUACCAGGCUAAUUUAACAGAUGAGAAAUAGAAGUCUGUUUUUGCUCCAAAUGACAUCAAAACGCUACAAAAUCUCAAUAAACGUUUUUGGUAAAUUGCAUGGACGGUGCUUAUUUGUAAGCAGAACAACAUUAUCAUCUGUAUUAUCGACCAGCAUUCCAGAACAAUUUAACAGAUUGGUAUGGAAUUGUGUUGAGGAAAAAAGGGAUUCCACUUCUCCAGAUGUCUGCCCCCAUAUUUGUGCAGUGUUCAGCUACAUAGUGAAGUUUUGUUCAUGUUUACAGAUUACAGUAAGUAAGUAAGCACUAUGGCCUAAGCACUAAGUCACAUCAGAGAGUUUUUGUAACAUCAGUUGGGUGAUUGGGUGUUUGAAUCCUGCCACUUCGCACGCAGAGCUUGCAUGUUCUCCACAUGAUUCAGGGAUUUUCCCUGGGUACUCCGGUUUGUGUACGAUAAGUGGUAUAGAAAAUGGAUAGAUUUUCAACUACCGUUUAUAAUGUACACAACUUCUAACGUGUUUUCAGAGAUUUUCUUUUUCUUUUUUUUUUAAGGCAUCAAUAUAAUUUUUGGUAUCUAAAUCAAUUUUUUUUUUCUGUUGACACAUAUUUAGGUGUUGUUUUUUUUGGAACCACAAAUGGCUGGAAGAAAAAUACACAGAAUGGCGUGACAGUGGCAUUUCUCAGCCUGAUUCUCAGACACAUCCAUAAGACAUCGUUGGCAGUGAUCGGGAAGGUGCAUGUUAAAUCCAGUCGAGGGUGUAAUGAAAGUAAACAAGCGGCACUGUUAAACUUGAUAGGUCAUUUAACUACAAAAAUUUGAGGAAACUAAUUACCUCAAAAUUUUUAAGAUGGUAAAUCAAUUUCUUUAAGCCAAAUACACUUAAAUUGAACAAAAGUAUAACUCAAACUUUUUAAUUUAAGUGUAUUUGGCUUAAAAAAAUUAGUUUUGAGGUAAUUAGUUUCCUCAAAUUUUUGGAGUUAAAUGAACUUAUCUAGUUUUACAGUGUGGAUUAUUUACUCAGUCAUCCUUUUUUCCCAUCAUGAUUACAAAAUGCAUUUGGAGAAGAAACUAAAAGUAGAUUUUUAGGCUAAGCACACAAUGUACAAUUUUUAGCACAAAACACCACAAGACAGAAUCAUACGUUUAGUGCGUUUGUUUAUGGUAUGAAUGAUCGGGUUGCAGCUUUUCUGUUUAUCAUGUGUGGAAACACGGUAUGAACGUAGUAGAACUUGAAAUACACAAACAUUUUAAAUCACAAAUGCAGUUGCGUAUCUGCCCUCUGAUCUAAUAUCACAACCAGCUGUCCCUGGCACGACCUCAGUCAAAGCCUGAGCCUCAGGAAGCAUUCUAUGGAUCGAUGACUAAAUUCGCUAAAACCACUGAUGGUCUGAUAGUACAACAGUGGUAUACAGUAUACCUUAUACCUUUUCACUGUUACGCUAAGCCACUUGAAUUUGCUUGGUUUUCAGGUGAGAACCAUACUUAUGUGUGGGGGAAAUUUCUUCAGGUUUUGUUUAUACCUCAUGCACAAGUUUCACAAACAAAGACGCCUUCCUGAGUAGUCAAUGCCUUGCAAGCUCAAAACAAUAUGUUGAAAAUUAUUGCAAAAGAACAUUAGCCACUAGCUUAGUUUCAAUUUGUCAUGAGCCAAUCGUCUGCUUGCUCUGAACAAACAUAAUUAAGUGCAGACUGUUAUGCACUUUUGCAAAGAGCCCCCAUACUCUUCACAAAACGGAAGUGUCAAAACCAGAGACCUCAAACACCUGUUAUCUUACUUCAGCUCUGGCUUUUGAGCCGCAUAGGCCAAGUCCAUCAAUUUUGAAUUGUAGCGUCAUUGAAUGGCAGCAAUGUCAAACAACAGUAGCAGUCUUUUGGAAAGAAGUCUUUUGUCAAGUCCCAAUGCCAGUGAUUAUGAUCUAAGCUUCAGCCCAGCAUAUGACUACUCUGAUUAUUAUUCAAAUAAUGGUACUGUUAACACAGAACCAUGUGGUUAUCGAACCCAUGCAAAC